rnacentral:rRNA from 1 species
UACGGGGGGGGCAAGCGUUGUUCGGAAUUACUGGGCGUAAAGCGCGGGCAGGCGGUCUGACAAGUCUGAUGUGAAAUCUCCGGGCUUAACCGGGAGAGGCCAUUGGAAACUGACAGGCUGGAGGGCAGUAGAGGUAGGCGGAAUUCCGGGUGGAGUGGUGAAAUGCGUAGAGAUCCGGAGGAACACCAGAGGCGAAGGCGGCCUACUGGGCUGCACCUGACGCUGAGCCGCGAAAGCCAGGGGAGCGAACGGG